rnacentral:sRNA from 1 species
CAAGGUUCGAUUCGAGCGCAGCGAGAAAGCGUUGCCACAGGCAACGACCCGAAGGGCGAAGCGCGCAGCGCUGAGUC